GCCAGCCCGCUCAGAAACUUAAAUGAAUUGACGGGGGCCCGCACAAGCGGAGGAGCAUGUGGUUUAAUUCGAUGAUACGCGAGGAACCUUACCUGGGCUCGAACGUAAGAUGACUGUAGGUGAAAGCUUACAUCUCUUCGGAGCAUUUUACGAGGUGCUGCAUGGUUGUCGUCAGCUCGUGCCGUGAGGUGUCGGGUUAAGUCCCAUAACGAGCGCAACCCCUACCUUUAGUUGCCAUCAGGUUAAGCUGGGGACUCUAAAGGAACUGCCUACGCAAGUAGUGAGGAAGGCGGGGAUGACGUCAAAUCAGCACGGCCCUUACGUCCAGGGCUACACACGUGCUACAAUGGCCGAUACAGAGGGCAGCUACCUGGUGACAGGAUGCAAAUCUCCAAAGUCGGUCUCAGUUCGGAUCGGAGUCUGCAACCCGACUCCGUGAAGUUGGAAUCGCUAGUAAUCGUGGAUCAGCAUGCCACGGUGAAUACGUUCCCGGGCCUU
rnacentral:rRNA from 1 species